CCUACGGGGGGCAGCAGUGAGGAAUAUUGGUCAAUGGACGAGAGUCUGAACCAGCCAAGUAGCGUGAAGGAUGACUGCCCUAUGGGUUGUAAACUUCUUUUAUAUGGGAAUAAAAUGUUCCACGUGUGGGAUUUUGUAUGUACCAUAUGAAUAAGGAUCGGCUAACUCCGUGCCAGCAGCCGCGGUAAUACGGAGGAUCCGAGCGUUAUCCGGAUUUAUUGGGUUUAAAGGGAGCGUAGGUGGAUUGUUAAGUCAGUUGUGAAAGUUUGCGGCUCAACCGUAAAAUUGCAGUUGAAACUGGCAGUCUUGAGUAUAGUAGAGGUGGGCGGAAUUCGUGGUGUAGCGGUGAAAUGCUUAGAUAUCACGAAGAAAUCCGAUUGCGAAGGCAGUUCACUGGACUGCAACUGACACUGAGGCUCGAAAGUGUGGGUAUCAAACAGGAUUAGAUACCCGAGUAGUC
rnacentral:rRNA from 1 species